GCAAAGAAACAAGAGAUUUGAACACAAAAGAAGAAAAGUGCGUGUUUUGGGCCUGGUUGGUUUGAUGUUUUUGCUUGGAUUCACAUGGGUCUUUGCAUUCUUCGCUGUUAGCAGAGCGACAAAAGUGUUUGAUUAUCUUUUUUCUAUAUUCAAUACCCUUCAAGGAAUGUUUAUCUUCACAUUCUAUUGUCUAUACAAGAAAGAUACCAGAGAUAUCAUCAAAGAGUCCGUGAAUAAACGAAAGAGAGCGAAUCCCAGGAGAGUUGUCGCCGGCAGAAGUAAGUGCGAUUUGUGUUGGUUUCUUUUUUAUUCAUUGCACCGUG
rnacentral:lncRNA from 1 species